rnacentral:lncRNA from 1 species
ACGGAUAGAGCUCCUCGUCUCUGUUAGAAACGACCAUCAAAAAGAUACAUCAAUUCAUUAGAAUCAAAAGGACAUGAGUUAUCAGAAUUCUUUCUCCUGAAAGAAAGUGGAGAUCAAAGGUAGAACUUCUAGAGACUGAGAUGAAGGCAGAUGAAAGAAGUUAAUGAAACAUUACAUGACUUGAUAAUAUUGCAUGCAAACAAAAACCUUAUGAAAUCAACUGUGUUCUGGUGACCACUUGUUUUUCUUUUUGUCAUAAUACUUUUUUUCUCUCGCAAUGAUAUUGAUUCAUCUGCACCUGACAUCAACUCUGUAUUUGUAGAAGGUGAUAAGAAUUCAAGGAAAUGGAAUAAGUGGCUUUCCCUGCAAUCCCGCAGCAGCAGAAAUGUCCAUUUCCUCUCUCCUGAAUAAUACCACAUUCUCCACUGAGUUCCACAAGUUUCAAGGUAAGAGCAUGAACAUACACAAAGUCACCAUCACUACCCUCACCACCACCACCAUUAUUUCCACCAUAUUCACCCUUUUAAUAUGCAAACUUCCUCCAAGUCUUCCUGAAGUCACCCAGAAAUGCAUUUCCCCAGGAGUGAGUUGCGCUAAUUUUGUAUCCUAUGGAACUCUGGGAAGCUACCCAGAUCUUCAACUCUUGGAGUCUUGCUGACUGCAUGUUCCAGGCUCCACAUUUAAGCUCCAGUGAUUGCUGAUGACUGCACGACCUAAGGCAUGUCCAUCCUUUCUCGGCCUCAAUUUCUUCACCAGUGAAUUCUGGAUGCUGGAGUUGGCAAUAUUUCAGGUUCUUUCCAACUGGAAAUAUCCAUGCUAAUAAUUUUAGUAAGGCAAUAGCCAUAGAAACCUACUGACAAAAUGAGUAUUUUAACAGAGACAGUUGUACUUUCUUAAUUUUUACCAGAAGGGAAUGCAUAUGUAUAAUAUCUAUGUUGCCUUUUAUGUAUAAAAAUAAAUACACAGACAC